rnacentral:rRNA from 1 species
AUUGAACGCUGGCGGAAUGCUUUACACAUGCAAGUCGAACGGUAGAGGGGGCAACCCCUUGAGAGUGGCGAACGGGUGAGUAAUAUAUCGGAACGUGCCCAGUCGUGGGGAUAACGUAGCGAAAGUUACGCUAAUACCGCAUACGAUCUAAGGAUGAAAGCGGGGGACUCGCAAGAGCCUCGCGCGAUUGGAGCGGCCGAUAUCAGAUUAGGUAGUUGGUGGGGUAAAGGCUCACCAAGCCAACGAUCUGUAGCUGGUCUGAGAGGACGACCAGCCACACUGGAACUGAGACACGGUCCAGACUCCUACGGGAGGCAGCAGUGGGGGAAUUUUGGACAAUGGACGCAAGUCUGAUCCAGCCAUUCCGCGUGCAGGAUGAAGGCCCCUCGGGUUGUAAACUGCUUUUGUACGGAACGAAAGGUUUCUAUUAAUACUAGGAGCUCAUGACGGUACCGUAAGAAUAAGCA